GAUGGAAGCUGCAGAGCCAACCGUGCAGACAAAUGAGAAAAUAUCUUGGGUCUGCGGAAGGCAAUGGUCCUACAUAAUAAUAAACAUG
ensembl:scaRNA Gm22416 predicted gene, 22416